GAUGAACGCUGGCGGCGUGCCUAAUACAUGCAAGUCGAGCGAACAGACGAGGAGCUUGCUCCUCUGACGUUAGCGGCGGACGGGUGAGUAACACGUGGAUAACCUACCUAUAAGACUGGGAUAACUUCGGGAAACCGGAGCUAAUACCGGAUAAUAUAUUGAACCGCAUGGUUCAAUAGUGAAAGACGGUUUUGCUGUCACUUAUAGAUGGAUCCGCGCCGCAUUAGCUAGUUGGUAAGGUAACGGCUUACCAAGGCAACGAUGCGUAGCCGACCUGAGAGGGAGUUGGGCAACAGUGAACUGAGAAACGGUCCAGACCCCUACGGGAGGCAGCAGUAGGGAAUCUUCCGCAGUGGGCGAAAGCCUGACGGAGCAACGCCGCGUGAGUGAUGAAGGUCUUCGGAUCGUAAAACUCUGUUAUUAGGGAAGAACAAAUGUGUAAGUAACUAUGCACGUCUUGACGGUACCUAAUCAGAAAGCCACGGCUAACUACGU
rnacentral:rRNA from 1 species